UAGCCGUAAACGAUACUCGCUAGGUGUCGGCCACGGUGCGACCGUUGUCGGUGCCGUAGGGAAGCCGUGAAGCGAGCCACCUGGGAAGUACGGCCGCAAGGCUGAAACUUAAAGGAAUUGGCGGGGGAGCACAACAACGGGUGGAGCUUGCGGUUUAAUUGGAUUCAACGCCGGAAAUCUUACCGGGACCGACAGCAACAUGACGGCCAAGCUGAAGACUUUGCCGGAUUAGCUGAGAGGAGGUGCAUGGCGUAGUCGUGU
rnacentral:rRNA from 1 species